rnacentral:lncRNA from 1 species
CUUGACCUUCCAUUUUCCUCCCUUUCCUGGUUGUUCUGCCUGUGCUCUCCUGGCACAUCAGCAGUCACUGCAGGCACAUCAACAAAAGACACCUCACCGCCACCUGCCUUGAUUCACAAGGAGCACAACAUUGUCUGAAGGACUCCAAUCCCCAGUGUUAGGAACCCUCAAGGGACCCUGCUCAUCCUGAGCCCCCAACUAGCAUGUGAGUUCCCUGGGGCUCUUUAUGGCACUUCCCUCAACAAUGCAUAGUGGUUCCAUCUACUUAAUGAGCCUCGUGUCACCUUAUGAACACCUGCCUUUAAUAUACCCUACCCUACACACACACACACACAAACUCCAUAUCUUCUAUCUCUCCCUACCCCUACCACAACUCCUUUCCUUCCUUGCAGAAUUCUGCUGAUAAUUUACUAGAUGCCAUCCUUGGGGCUUGGCUCAAUUCAAUCCACAUGAAGUUCACAAACAUGUAUUUAGACAAUCUAUUUUUGAGGUAUAGAAGGCACCCCAGGUGACUAAUACAAAGUUCUUGUGGCCAAGGAGCUCAGAGAAGCUGAAGAUACCUUCACUGCCCUUCACAGUUAUCUCAACCUUCAGCAUUCCCCCAAAGAAAUGCUGCCCUCUAGGAAGUUCUCUCCAAGGAAUCCCAUCCCUGUCCUGAGUAUUUCUUUAAUCUACAACUUUCCUUAGGCUGUGUAUUGCACAGGGGGCAUGCCAAUGGGUUCUGCACUUGUGUCCAACACCCUUGGUAAAUUGACCUUCCCCGAGGACUUCGGAGCCCUUUGAGGAUUCUCAGCAUCUGCAACUCCCAGGAGCUCCCAGCAUGCAGUUGGCACUUGAUGACUGUUUGUAGCUAAGGUACUUAGGCUGAUUUUAUUUAAUCUUUAGUAUCAGGCUGAUAUUUUAAAAAUUCCAAUUUAAAUAAAACAGUUUGAAUUC